AAGCGAGUUGUGGACGGUUCACGAGUGAGAAUGCAGGCAUGAGUAGCGAUACAAACGUGAGAAACGUUUGCGCCGAUUGACUAAGGGUUCCUGGGUCAAGCUGAUCUGCCCAGGGUAAGUCGGGACCUAAGGCGAGGCCGACAGGCGUAGUCGAUGGAUAACCGGUUGAUAUUCCGGUACCCGCUGUGAAGCGUCAAACAUCGAAUCCAGUGAUGCUAAGGCCGUGAAGCCGCCCCUGAUCUCUUCGGAGUGAGGGGGAGUGGUGGAGCCGCUGAACCAAGUUGGUAGUAGGUGAGUGAUGGGGUGACGCAGGAAGGUAGUCCAUCCCGGGCGGUGGUUGUCCCGGGGUAAGGGUGUAGG
rnacentral:rRNA from 1 species